AAUGGGAGAUGGAAAAAUUAAAAGAGGCAUAUAAGGUUAACAGGGAGUUAACCUUAUAGAAUGCAAGCCUGAAGUCUCAGCUCACAUAUUUCCACCUGCUGCCUGAGCUUCAAUUUCCUUCACUAAGAAAGCUUGGUACCAAGUCUUUUUUGUACAUCAUGUCUGAUUCUGAAAACGAUCAUUAUCCUCCUUCCAACAGAAGAGGAUGCUAAAUUGCAGAGAGUCAGAUUAAACUGCUCACACAGGUUGACUGCUUGGCCACAUCAUGUUGAUCAGUGGUUCUCAGUGUGUGGUUACUGGACCAGCAAUAUCAGCAUCACCUGGGACCUUGUCAGAAAUGCAAAUUUCCCAGCCCUGCCCACACCCACUGAAACUGAAACUCUGGGGUGGGGCCC